AAGUUGAAACACUGGUACCCAUACAAUCACCGAAGUUAAGAAACCUCGAGUCUGGUCAAGAUCUAAAUGGGUGACCACCUGGGAAUACCAGGUGCUGUAAG